rnacentral:rRNA from 1 species
AACACAUGCAAGUCGAACGGCAGCACAGGAGAGCUUGCUCUCUGGGUGGCGAGUGGCGGACGGGUGAGGAAUACAUCGGAAUCUACUCUGUCGUGGGGGAUAACGUAGGGAAACUUACGCUAAUACCGCAUACGACCUACGGGUGAAAGCAGGGGAUCUUCGGACCUUGCGCGAUUGAAUGAGCCGAUGUCGGAUUAGCUAGUUGGCGGGGUAAAGGCCCACCAAGGCGACGAUCCGUAGCUGGUCUGAGAGGAUGAUCAGCCACACUGGAACUGAGACACGGUCCAGACUCCUACGGGAGGCAGCAGUGGGGAAUAUUGGACAAUGGGCGCAAGCCUGAUCCAGCCAUACCGCGUGGGUGAAGAAGGCCUUCGGGUUGUAAAGCCCUUUUGUUGGGAAAGAAAUCCAGCUGGCUAAUACCCGGUUGGGAUGACGGUACCCAAAGAAUAAGCACCGGCUAACUUCGUGCCAGCAGCCGCGGUAAUACGAAGGGUGCAAGCGUUACUCGGAAUUACUGGGCGUAAAGCGUGCGUAGGUGGUCGUUUAAGUCCGUUGUGAAAGCCCUGGGCUCAACCUGGGAACUGCAGUGGAUACUGGGCGACUAGAGUGUGGUAGAGGGUAGCGGAAUUCCUGGUGUAGCAGUGAAAUGCGUAGAGAUCAGGAGGAACAUCCAUGGCGAAGGCAGCUACCUGGACCAACACUGACACUGAGGCACGAAAGC